rnacentral:rRNA from 1 species
AGUUCGGAUUGAAGGCUGAAAUUCGCCUUCAUGAAGCCGGAAUUGCUAGUAAUGGCAGGUCAGCAUACUGCCGUGAAUACGUUCCCGGGCCUUGUACACACCGCCCGUCACACCAUGAGAGUUGGGGAUACCCGAAGCCUGUGAGCUAACUUUUAGAGGCAGCAGUCGAAGGUAGAAUCAAUGAUUGGGGUGAAGUCGUAACAAGGUAAC